AUAUUUUAGUAUUUAAUGUACAUUAAUUUUUGAUUUUAAAGGAAAUAGUCUAAUUCUAUUAAAUAUAAU
rnacentral:tRNA from 1 species